UACAGAGGUCCCAAGCGUUGUUCGGAUUCACUGGACGUAAAGGGUGCGCAGGUGGUCGGGUAAGUCUGACGUGAAAUCCCGCAGCUUAACUGCGGAAUGGCAUUGGAUACUAUUCGGCUAGAGGGUUGGAGGGGGGACUGGAAUUCUCGGUGUAGCAGUGAAAUGCGUAGAUAUCGAGAGGAACACCAGUGGCGAAGGCGAGUCCCUGGACAACUCCUGACGCUGAGGCACGAAAGCUAGGGGAGCAAACAGG
rnacentral:rRNA from 1 species